rnacentral:rRNA from 1 species
GUGGGGAAUUUUGGACAAUGGGCGCAAGCCUGAUCCAGCCAUUCCGCGUGCAGGAUGAAGGCCUUCGGGUUGUAAACUGCUUUUGUACGGAACGAAAAGCCUCUGGUUAAUACCCGGGGGUCAUGACGGUACCGUAAGAAUAAGCACCGGCUAACUACGUGCCAGCAGCCGCGGUAAUACGUAGGGUGCGAGCGUGAAUCGGAAUUACUGGGCGUAAAGCGUGCGCAGGCGGUGAUGUAAGACAGUUGUGAAAUCCCCGGGCUCAACCUGGGAACUGCAUCUGUGACUGCAUUGCUGGAGUGCGGCAGAGGGGGAUGGAAUUCCGCGUGUAGCAGUGAAAUGCGUAGAUAUGCGGAGGAACACCGAUGGCGAAGGCAAUCCCCUGGGCCUGCACUGACGCUCAUGCACGAAAGCGUGGGGAGCAAACAGGAUUAGAAACCCCUGUAGUCC